UAUUCAUAUCCCCUUCCUUAUGUAUAGGAAAAAAAUUGAAGAAUCAGUUUCUCCAUUAAUACCCGUUCGUCUCAGCUAUGAGCUAUCCCCAAAUAUCGCUUUUGGAUCUGGAUUAGCGGAGUCGGCAAUGAUAUUGAGAAGGAGCAGUCGUGGAGGCUUGCUUGUUGCCCGUUCUCUGCAGGAUUUUGCGAUUCCCGGCGUCGAUCUGUAGCGGCGGUUCCGCACCAGGAACUCGACCUCGCGCUUUUGCGGCCACCGCUAUUCCGCUAUUCGUGAGGUCGGCCAGGUUUCCUCCUCUGUCUGCCAUCGGCCCUGCUACAGCCGUGAGACAGAGUCGGAGGACCACGAUCCUGAUGAGGAUGUGUCUGCGGUUCUCGUCGACCUCACAAAGGGGGCGAAGCCGCUGUGCUCGCUGCCCAGCACGAUGUUGAGGUUGCGGAUUGAGCUCCCUUCGACCUUGCAGUGACGAUUUCCAUGGUGUGACCGCCGCUCAUGCUAUUGACAUUCUGGACCAUCAUGGCGCCGACCCUGAUGAAGAUGUCACGCACGAUAAUGCCCAGAUUUCACCAUUGAACUGAAACAUCAAAUAGAUAGUUAGGAAUACCUGGAUGGAGAUUCUUAUUCCUUUCGUACUGUUACGUGAUAGAUUUUGUAUGCAAACCUGGGUGAGUACAUGCAUGUUUGUGUCGAUGGGAUGCCAGCAAGACGGCCUGAUGCUUGAGGCGAUGUGAUGUCGGCAAGUCGUCAGGCGCUGCUGCAGUUGGCAUGUUGUGAUCGCCUAAAAAGAUGCAACAAUCAACGGAGAACGGUUUUAGAGAUUCUGAAUUCCAUAGUCUGGCUACUUCAAUUCCUCUGAUGGUAGAUUGAAUCUCACGCAAGGCUUUGCAUGUCAUUGCAGAUUUCACCAUUGAACUGAAGCAUCAAAUAGAUAGUUAGGAAUACCUGGAUGGAGAUGCUUAUUCCUUUCGUACUGUUACAUGAUAGAUUUUGUAUGAAAACCUGGGUGAGUACAGUCAUGUUUGUGUCGAUGGGAUGCCAGCAAGACGGCCUGAUGCUUGAGGCGAUGGGAUGUCGGCAAGUCGUCAGGCGCUACUGCAGUUGGCAUGCUGUGAUCACCUAAAAAGAUGCAACAGUCAACGGGAGAACGGUUUUAGAGAUUCUGAGUCCCAUAGUCUGGCUACUUCAAUUCCUCUGAUGGUAGAUUGAAUCUCACGCAAGGCUUUGCAUGUCAUUGCAGAUUUCACCAUUGAACUGAAACAUCAAAUAGAUAGUUAGGAAUACCUGGGUGGAGAUGCUUACUCCUUUCGUAUUGUUACAUGAUAGAUUUUGUAUGCAAACCUGGGUGAGUACAGUCAUGUUUGUGCCGCUACGAUGCCAGCAAGACGACCUGAUGCUUGAGGCGAUGGGAUGUCUGCAAGUCGGCAGGCGCUGCUGCAGAUGGCAUGUUGUGAUCACCUGAAGAAGAUGCAACAAUCAACCGAGAACGGUUCUAGAGAUUUUGUUGUUUUUUCGGAAAGAAAACUGGCAUUAUAUGGAGUAUAUAUCUGUAGGCGUGCAUGUCUUUUGAAUUUUUAUUACGGAGGAGGCAUGUUCCUAUGGAAACACGAUAUGUGGAGAUUAAUUCCGGGAGU